rnacentral:ncRNA from 1 species
UCUCGACAAAGGCAUACCCAGCCGAAAGGCGGGGACGCAAAGCUACCGGUCUACGGGACUUUCCCACGACAGCGGGGUUACCGAA